rnacentral:rRNA from 1 species
CUACGGGGCGCAGCAGUGGGGAAUAUUGGACAAUGGGGGAAACCCUGAUCCAGCAAUGCCGCGUGUGUGAAGAAGGCCUGCGGAUUGUAAAGCACUUUCGGUUGGGAGGACUGCUUCUAGCACUAAUAUUGUUGGAAGUUGACGUUACCUUCAGAAGAAGCACCGGCUAACUCCGUGCCAGCAGCCGCGGUAAUACGGGGGGUGCAAGCGUUAAUCGGAAUUACUGGGCGUAAAGCGCGCGUAGGCGGCUAGAUCAGUCGGGUGUGAAAGCCCCGGGCUUAACCUGGGAACUGCAUCCGAUACUGUCUAGCUUGAGUACAGGAGAGGAGAGUGGAAUUCCACAUGUAGCGGUGAAAUGCGUAGAUAUGUGGAGGAACACCAAUGGCGAAGGCAGCUCUCUGGCCUGAUACUGACGCUGAGGUGCGAAAGCGUGGGGAGCAAACAGGAUUAGAUACCCCUGUAGUC